rnacentral:rRNA from 1 species
AUGAACGCUGGCGGCGUGCUUAACACAUGCAAGUCGAACGGUGAAGGCGGAGCUUGCUCUGCUGGAUCAGUGGCGAACGGGUGAGUAACACGUGAGCAAUCUGCCCCUGACUCUGGGAUAAGCGCUGGAAACGGCGUCUAAUACUGGAUACGAGCUGCGAAGGCAUCUUCAGCAGCUGGAAAGAAUUUCGGUCAGGGAUGAGCUCGCGGCCUAUCAGCUUGUUGGUGAGGUAAUGGCUCACCAAGGCGUCGACGGGUAGCCGGCCUGAGAGGGUGACCGGCCACACUGGGACUGAGACACGGCCCAGACUCCUACGGGAGGCAGCAGUGGGGAAUAUUGCACAAUGGGCGAAAGCCUGAUGCAGCAACGCCGCGUGAGGGACGACGGCCUUCGGGUUGUAAACCUCUUUUAGCAGGGAAGAAGCGAAAGUGACGGUACCUGCAGAAAAAGCGCCGGCGAACUACGU